rnacentral:rRNA from 1 species
AACGAACGCUGGCGGCAGGCUUAACACAUGCAAGUCGAACGCCCCGCAAGGGGAGUGGCAGCCGGGUGAGUAACGCGUGGGAACAUACCCUUUUCUACGAAAUAGCUCUGGGAAACUGGAAUUAAUACCGUAUACGCCCUACGGGGGAAAGUUUUAUCGGGGAAGGAUUGGCCCGCGUUGGAUUAGCUAGUUGGUGGGGUAAAGGCCUACCAAGGCGACGAUCCAUAGCUGGUCUGAGAGGAUGAUCAGCAACAUUGGGACUGAGACACGGCCCAAACUCCUACGGGAGGCAGCAGUGGGGAAUAUUGGACAAUGGGCGCAAGCCUGAUCCAGCCAUGCCGCGUGAGUGAUGAAGGCCUUAGGGUUGUAAAGCUCUUUCACCGAUGAAGAUAAUGACGGUAGUCGGAGAAGAAGCCCCGGCUAACUUCGUG